UACGGAGGGAGCUAGCGUUGUUCGGAAUUACUGGGCGUAAAGCGCGCGUAGGCGGCUUUGUAAGUUAGAGGUGAAAGCCCGGAGCUCAACUCCGGAACUGCCUUUAAAAACUGCAUCGCUUGAAUCCAGGAGAGGUGAGUGGAAUUCCGAGUGUAGAGGUGAAAUUCGUAGAUAUCGGGAGGAACACCAGUGGCGAAGGCGGCGAUCUGGGAAGAUACUGACGCUGAGGUGCGAAAGCGGUGGGGAGCAAACAGG
rnacentral:rRNA from 1 species